UACGGAGGAUGCGAGCGUUAUCCGGAUUUAUUGGGUUUAAAGGGUGCGUAGGCGGCUUUUUAAGUCAGCGGUGAAAUUUUGCAGCUUAACUGUAACAGUGCCGUUGAUACUGGGGAGCUAGGAUUUGGUUGCUGUGGGUGGAAUGUGUUGUGUAGCGGUGAAAUGCUUAGAUAUCACACAGAAUAUCGAUUGCGAAGGCAGCUCACAAAGCCAAGAUUGACGCUGAGGCACGAAAGUGUGGGGAUCAAACAGGAUUA
rnacentral:rRNA from 1 species